rnacentral:rRNA from 1 species
GUCUAUGGCCAUGCUACCCUGAACAAGCCCGAUCCCAUCUGAUCUCAGAAGCUAAGCAGGGUCGAGCCUGGUAGUACUUGGAUGGGAGACCACCUAGGAAGACCAGGUGCUGUAGGCU